GGAUCAUUAGUCUUAGGACAGUCAACCAUUUGGACAUUUUGCUUUCCUUGUUCUUCCCUGUCUUUGCUUUUUCCUAUGAAUUAUGAACUUUUAUUCUAUGUACAAAGAGAGUCUUACCCUUCCCACACCCAUUUUCAAUUCACAAAGAUGCACAAUACCCCUAUAGUAAAAUGGUAAUUGAAACCAUCCCAAAUGUGGAGAACCUCUCUCCUGCAGUCCACCGCGACCCCUCGAUUUGGGGGCACCAUCGACCCUGAAAACCUUCAUGUCUCUGAAAUCAUCGGAGCUCAAGUCGUUCACUCUCCAGCUCUGUGUUGUUCUCUUGGAGUUUUGAGAUCUCUGAUUGAGCUGAUUACGAGGUCAAGAUCUACUCGAGCUAGUUGGUGUCGUUAAUCCUCUGCAAUUUUAGCAUGAAAGGACCACGGUGGAGAAAUCCCUAAUGUAGUUUGUCUGAGUUUGGGGGCUUUGAGUCCUUUCGUUUCAGAAAGAGAAGCCCUGUUUGUGUAUGGUUUUGGAGAAAGUUCGAGGUGUGUUCUUGUUUCUCAGAGCGUUUUCAAAAUUUUGAAUCUUUUCUCUGUGCAGUUGGUUGACCCUUUUCUUGAUUUAUAAUAAGAAGGGUUAAUACAAUCAAUCAAGAACUAGUCAUGGGUUAAAAAUGGUAGGCUGACAUGAACUGUUCUUGCAAAGAUGGAUAGUUCAUCUUUUGCUGAGUUGUACAUUCAUUCUUGCGGAGAAUUUGGGUCAAAUUUUUAAAUUUACACAGCUCUGCAGCUACAAUAUAUUAUGAAGGAGCUAGCCAGUUUGAUCUAAGUACCAAAAAAAUGAAAAAAUGUAGUUGUAAUAUGAAGAAAAGGACUUGGCGGGGGGGCGGCUUUCUUUAGGAAUUCAAAAUGUGUUGUAAUCACAUUAGCAAGCUGCAGGACAGGUUGGAGAAGUGUGUAAAAGCCCCAUGAGAUCAGUGUGCUUCGUUUUCUGUUAGCCUUCUCUGAUUCCUUGUAUCAGCGAUGUUAUAUGCGUAAUGUUUUUGUUAGUGUUAACUUUUAUUUAUAAUUGGAUUUAAUCUGAUUCUGGUAUUCUUUCAUUUGUGGGUUCUGUAUUUUUGGGUGCUAUUUUUAUUUUCUUAUACAUAACAAAUUUUACUGUGUUCAUCAUUUUAUUUAAAAAAACUUUAGGUUGUUGUUUCCAUAUACUUUUGUCUCCUAUUGCAUUUGGUUUUAGUAGGGAAAAGGAAUCUGUAAGGGGUGGGAUUCUCUUAAUGGAAAUAGAUCUUGAGGGGAAUGUGGAUGAACAUGAAAUAGAAAAUGUUAGGCCAAAUGUAGGUGAAAGUAUUGAUGGAGAGGUACAUGGUGAAGAUGAGUUAGGUGUAAGUUUUCCUGCAAUGGAUCUUGGUUUUACUGAAGAGGAUACAAAUUUUGAGCCUUUUAAAGGAAUGGAAUUUGAAUCACAUGAGGAAGCUUAUGCAUUUUAUAAAGAAUAUGCAGGGUCUGUUGGAUUUAAUACCAAGAAAAAGAACAGUCGCCGUUCAAGGCAUACCGGAAAAUCUAUUGAUGCACAUUUUGCAUGCUCUAGACAAGGAAACAAGCAGCAAUCAGCGGAUGCCAUUAACCCACGACCCUCUCAUAAGAUUGGCUGUAAGGCAAGCAUGGAUGUAAAAAGAAGGCAAGAUGGUAGAUGGAUCAUACAUAAUUUUACAAAGGAGCAUAAUCAUGAGCUUUUGCCAUCCUAAACACAUUAUUUUCGAAGUGGUAGGAGUAUAAUUUGAAUAGCAAAAACGAUUUAGAGAUUCUGCAUGCAGUACGAGUACAAACAAGUAAAAUCCACACUCCAGUAGCUGAAAAAUGUGGUGCAUCUCAAAGUGGUGGUUUUUUAGACAGAGGCAUUAGAAAUCAAAUGAAUAAAGAAGGAUGCUUGGCUAUAGAAGCGGAGGACGUGCAUGCUAUGCUGGACCAUUUCAUACGGUUGCAGCAAGAGAAUCCUAAUUUCUUCUAUGUAAUUGAUUUGAAUGAUGAACAGUGCUUAAGAAAUGUUUUUUGGGUUGAUGUUAAAGGCCACAUGAUUGUAUCAGCUUCAAUGACGUUUCUUUGGAUACAACUUAUCACAAAAAGAGAUGCAGAAUGCCAUUUGCACCUUUUAUGGGUGUAAAUCAUCACUUCCAAUCCACAUUGGUUGGAUGUGCUUUAUUGUCAGACGAGACUUCAUCGACAUUUGUUUGGUUAUUGCGGACUUGGCUUAGAGCAAUGGGUGGAGUUUCUUCAAGAGUGAUAAUUACUGACCAAGAUGAAUGCAUGAAAGUAGCUGUUGCUGAGGUUCUUCCAGAUGCCCAUCACCAGUAUUGCUUGUGGCAUAUAUUAAGGAAGAUACCAGAGAAACCCAGUCAUGUAACCAAGAAAAGUGAAAAUUUUAUAGAGGAAUUUAACAAAUGCAUCUAUAGAUCGUGGACAGAGGAGGAAUUUGAAAGUAGAUGGUGGAUUAUGGUUCACACUUUUGAACUCAAGGAGGAUAAGUGGAUUAAAUCUUUGUAUGAAGAUCGUAAACAAUGGGUUCCAACUUAUAUGAAGGAUACUUUUUUUGCAGGAAUGUCUACCACCAAACGAUCUGAGAGCAUAAACUCGUUCUUUGAUAAAUAUGUGCUCAAAAAAACAACAUUGAAAGAGUUUCUAGAGAAGUAUAAGAGCAUUCUGCAAGCUAGGUAUGAAGAGGAAUCCAGGGCAGAUUUUGAUUCAAAGCAUGGAUUCCCUGCUUUGAAGUCCCAUUCGCCUUACGAGAAGCAAAUGUCAACAUUCUACACUCAUGAACUAUUCAAAAAGUUCCAAGUGGAGGUUUUGGGAACCGUUGCAUGCCAUCCAAGAAAAGAGAAGGAAGAUGGGACCAACACAACAUUUAGGGUCCAAGAUUUUUAAGCACAACAGGACUUCAUAGUCAUGUGGAAUGAAACAAAAUCAAAUGUGUCUUGUUUGUGUUGUUCCUUCGAAUAUAAAGGGUUUCUUUGUAGGCAUGCGAUGGUCGUUCUCCAAUUUUCAGCUAUACCUGAAAUUCCAUGUCACUAUAUAUUGAAAAGAUGGAGCAAGGAUGCAACAAUUAGGCAUACUAUAGGACAAAAUUCAGAGAUCACACAAUCAAGGGCACAACGCUACAACGAUUUAUGUCAGAGAGCCUUGAAAUUGGCCAUAGAUGGGUCAGCUUCUCAAGAGAGUUACAUCACUGCAGUUCAUGCACUUGAAGAAGCUAUGAGGAGAUGCGCAAUGUUGAAUAUCUCAGUACAGUGUGACACAGCCUAACAUGUCAAUAAUUAAUGGUCAUUUUGAUGCUCCACAGAACAUGCAGGAGCUGGGGCAUUGCUCGAUUUUACCAACCUGUGAGGUUUAGUGUGGCACUCAUUAGAGCAUAUAGGGCUGGUAUGUAUAUUAUGAUUUAGAUAAAAAGUGGUUGCAUAUUAUAUUGAUGGA